CCGACUGCUAUUUGGGUGAGGAUAAGCCAUGCGAGUCGAAUGGGAUACCUAAAUUUCCCAUGGCGAACUGCUCAAUAACACAUGAUCAACUUACCCUAUAGAGAAAAAUAACCUCGGGAAACUGAGGAUAAUGUUUCAUAGUUGAAAAGGCUUGGAAAAGUUUUUCGACCAAAGGGAUAAGAAAAAUGGUUUUUAUCCGCUAUAGGAUAGGAUCGUGGUCGAUUAUGGUCGUUGGUGAGGUAAUGGCUCACCAAGCCGAUAAUCGAUAGGGGCCGUGAGAGCGGGAGCCCCGAGAUGGGUACUGAGACAGCGACCCAGGCCUUACGAGGCGCAGAGGGCGGGGAAACCUCCGCAAUACACGAAAAGUUGACGGGUUACCAAGUGUUCAUUUGACUGUGUAGGUGAGUAUGUUCCCUACUAGAAAGAGAGGGCAAGGCUGGUGCCAGCGCGCGGUAAACCAGCUCUUCAAGUGGUCGGGAUAAUUAUUGGGCUUAAAGUGUCCGUAGCCGGUUUAGUAAGUUCCUGGUAAAAUCGGGUAGCUUAACUAUCUGCAUGCUAGGAAUACUGCUAUACUAAAGGACGGGAGAGGUCUGAGGUACUACAGGGGUAGGGGGUGAAAUCUUAUAAUCCUUGUAGGACCACCAGUGGCGAAGGCGUCAGACUGGAACGUGCCUGACGGUGAGGGACGAAAGCCAGGGGAGCAAACCGGAUUAGAUACCCGGGUAGUCCUGGCCGUAAACGAUGCAUACUAGGUGAUGGCAUGGCCAUGAGCCGUGUCAGUGCCGUAGGGAAACCGUUAAGUGUGCCGCCUGGGAAGUCGGUCGCAAGGCUAAAACUUAAAGGAAUUGGCGGGGGAGCACCACAAGGGGUGAAGUCUGCGGUUC
rnacentral:rRNA from 1 species